CACAAACACUCCUGUCCUGUAUAGCACAAUAUAUCUUCUCUGGUGAGUGGGACAGUUUUAUAGCUUGCAAAGGAAUAUGACACUGCACUGAACCUGCAAUGGGAACCAAAAAUACACUGCAGACCACUUGAGUUGCUGGAUCUCUGUACUAUGAGUCCUUAAGCACAGGAGAACAGAGGGUCAGAGACUGAAGCUUGCAUAAAUGCACAAAACACGAGCAAGGAAAAAACAAUCUACUCAUGAAUACAGACAAAAAGGCAGAGACAUAUAAGUGUGAGGAAAUGAGCGACAGGUUGGGGGAGAAUCAGCUCAUGAUCUGUACACCGCACCCUGAACCGUGACGAUGCAACAUAAGAUUGCAGUUUUGUGGUGUAGGUUGUGUUUUGUGUGACCUUGAUGAUCCCAUGAUAAAAUUAUUCAGCUUGUGAGAA